rfam:Ovis aries breed Texel chromosome 8, whole genome shotgun sequence.
UCCCUGGUCAUCCAGGGGUUAAGGCUCCAUGCUUUAAAUGCAGGGGGCCCAGGUUCAAUCCCUGGUCAGGGAG